rnacentral:rRNA from 1 species
AGAGGGUGCAAGCGUUAAUCGGAAUUACUGGGCGUAAAGGGCGCGUAGGUGGCGUGCUAAGUUGGAUGUGAAAGUCCCGGGCUUAACCUGGGAAUGCCAUCCAAAACUGGCAUGCUAGAGAGCAGUAGAGGCAAGUGGAAUUUCCGGUGUAGCGGUGAAAUGCGUAGAUAUCGGAAGGAACAUCAGUGGCGAAGGCGACUUGCUGGACUGUUUCUGACACUGAGGCGCGAAAGCGUGGGGGUAGCGAACAGGAUUAGAUACCCUGGUAGUCCACGCCCGUAAACCGAUGAAUACUAGCUGUUGGGUCCCUACGGGACUUAGUGGCGCAGCUAACGCGAUAAGUAUUCCCGCCUGGGAGUACGGCCGCAAGGCUA